AUACGUAUGUCGCAAGCGUUAUCCGGAAUUAUUGGGCGUAAAGCGAGUCUAGGCGGCUGGUUAAGUCAGUUGUGAAAAUGCGGGGCUCAACUCCGUAUUGCGUUUGAAACUGGCAGGCUAGAGUACUGGAGAGGUGGGCGGAACUACAAGUGUAGAGGUGAAAUUCGUAGAUAUUUGUAGGAAUGCCGAUAGUGAAGACAGCUCACUGGACAGAUACUGACGCUAAAGCUCGAAAGCGUGGGGAGCGAACAGGAUUAGAUACCCCAGUAGUCC
rnacentral:rRNA from 1 species